AGGGAUCAUUACUGAG
rnacentral:rRNA from 1 species